rnacentral:rRNA from 1 species
AUUGAACGCUGGCGGCAGGCUUAACACAUGCAAGUCGAGCGGGGACUUCGGUCCUAGCGGCGAACGGGUGAGGAAUGCUUGGGAAUCUGCCCAGUAGUGGGGGAUAACGUUUCGAAAGGAACGCUAAUACCGCAUACGUCCUACGGGAGAAAGGGGGGGAUCUUCGGACCUCUCGCUAUUGGAUGAGCCCAAGUCGGAUUAGCUAGUUGGUGAGGUAAAGGCUCACCAAGGCGACGGUCCGUAGCUGGUCUGAGAGGAUGAUCAGCCACACUGGAACUGAGACACGGUCCAGACUCCUACGGGAGGCAUCAGUGGGGAAUAGUGGACAAUGGGCGAAAGCCUGAUCCAGCCAUGCCGCGUGUGUGAAUAAGGCCUUCGGGUUGUAAAGCACUUUAAGCGAGGAGGAAUGGCUCUUGGUUAAUAACCUUGAGCAGUGACGUUACUCGCAGAAUAAGCACCGGCUAACUCUGUUCCAGCCGCCGCCGUAAGAC